rnacentral:rRNA from 1 species
CGGAUGGUUGUUUGAACCGCAUGGUUCAGACAUAAAAGGUGGCUUCGGCUACCACUUACAGAUGGACCCGCGGCGCAUUAGCUAGUUGGUGAGGUAACGGCUCACCAAGGCGACGAUGCGUAGCCGACCUGAGAGGGUGAUCGGCCACACUGGGACUGAGACACGGCCCAGACUCCUACGGGAGGCAGCAGUAGGGAAUCUUCCGCAAUGGACGAAAGUCUGACGGAGCAACGCCGCGUGAGUGAUGAAGGUUUUCGGAUCGUAAAGCUCUGUUGUUAGGGAAGAACAAGUGCCGUUCAAAUAGGGCGGCACCUUGACGGUACCUAACCAGAAAGCCACGGCUAACUACGUGCCAGCAGCCGCGGUAAUACGUAGGUGGCAAGCGUUGUCCGGAAUUAUUGGGCGUAAAGGGCUCGCAGGCGGUUUCUUAAGUCUGAUGUGAAAGCCCCCGGCUCAACCGGGGAGGGUCAUUGGAAACUGGGGAACUUGAGUGCAGAAGAGGAGAGUGGAAUUCCACGUGUAGCGGUGAAAUGCGUAGAGAUGUGGAGGAACACCAGUGGCGAAGGCGACUCUCUGGUCUGUAACUGACGCUGAGGAGCGAAAGCGUGGGGAGCGAACAGGAUUAGAU